AGUGAACGCUGGCGGCAGGCCUAACACAUGCAAGUCGAACGGCAGCACAGUAAGAGCUUGCUCUUACGGGUGGCGAGUGGCGGACGGGUGAGGAAUACAUCGGAAUCUACUUUUUCGUGGGGGAUAACGUAGGGAAACUUACGCUAAUACCGCAUACGACCUACGGGUGAAAGCAGGGGAUCUUCGGACCUUGCGCGAUUGAAUGAGCCGAUGUCGGAUUAGCUAGUUGGCGGGGUAAAGGCCCACCAAGGCGACGAUCCGUAGCUGGUCUGAGAGGAUGAUCAGCCACACUGGAACUGAGACACGGUCCAGACUCCUACGGGAGGCAGCAGUGGGGAAUCUUGGACAAAGGGCGCAAGCCUGAUCCAGCCAUACCGCGUGAGUGAAGAAGGCCUUCGGGUUGUAAAGCCCUUUUGUUGGGAAAGAAAAGCAGCAGGUUAAUACCCCGCUGUUCUGACGGUACCCAAAGAAUAAGCACCGGCUAACUUCGUG
rnacentral:rRNA from 1 species